UUCUGAGGGUCCCUCACCUCCCCUUCCUUCCCACCCCCCUCUAUGGGUGUCACUCAGCUGUUGGGUGAUCUUGGUCUAGUUAUUUGACUGUCUUUAAGAAAGGAGUGGGAGAAAGACUGUUCCCUUCCUAGCUCUUAUCAUAGAGCAAAGGUCAUUUUCUUUCAUCCUGGGCAAUUUUAAGAUUGGGAUUUUCUGUAGCCCAAAGACCAACUUCAUACAGUCCAUCCUCCUGCUUUUCCCCAACCCCUGAGUCCAAUUUGUGUUAAUUGAUCUCCUUUGGCAACCUGGGAAGGUGGGGGAAGGAGAUAGAGACUCCCAAAUACAGAGCAAUGACAAUGCAUGUGUCAACCUUAUCAUCUAUAUGUGCAUCCCUGGAAAGUAUACUGCCAAGAUACCUGUUGAUAAGUGUGUUGUAAACAAAGUUGGUCACCAUGGACUUUUACUGAUGUCAGAUAACCAAUAAAUAAUCUUCUCAGAGUCUUCUGCCCUAUGUGAACCAAGAGCCUCAGCUGACCUCCCAAAUAUCAGUGUAAAGAAAGUAAUAGUGGCAUAGUAUUAUAGCAGAAAAUAGUUGUAAAUGUUAUUUAAAUAAAAAUUG